rnacentral:misc_RNA from 1 species
CUGUUAGUAGCUUGUCCUUCUUCUAGACUGAGGAGUCUCUCACUUGGACAUUUGACUGCGAAAAUAAAUAAAUAAAGGGAUUUAACUGAGAAACAGAAUAUGCCAAAUCCUCUUAGACUUCCCAAACACUACACGUUAGGGCAUACUAAUAACAACUGGAUGGCAUUAUAUAUAAGGAUAAUUAUAGUUUAAACUCAUUGAUUAAAGUUUUCAUAAUCAUAUAAUUGCAUGACAUUGAUUUUUUGACUAACAUAUAAUCAAG